AUAAUACUCCCUCCGUACCAAAAUUCUUGUCUUAGAUUUCUCAAGAUACAGAUGUAUCUAACACUAAAAGGUGACUAGAUACAUUUGUAUUUCAAUAAAUCUAAGACAAGAAUUUUGGGACGGAGGGAGUACAAG
rfam:Hordeum vulgare subsp. vulgare, WGS project CAJW01000000 data, contig: morex_contig_2157727